UAAUGUAUCGGAACGUGCCCAGUCGUGGGGGAUAACUGCUCGAAAGAGCAGCUAAUACCGCAUACGACCUGAGGGUGAAAGCGGGGGAUCGCAAGACCUCGCGCGAUUGGAGCGGCCGAUAUCAGAUUAGGUAGUUGGUGGGGUAAAGGCUCACCAAGCCGACGAUCUGUAGCUGGUCUGAGAGGACGACCAGCCACACUGGGACUGAGACACGGCCCAG
rnacentral:rRNA from 1 species